UGCCAGACUCCUACGGGAGGCAGCAGUGGGGAAUAUUGCACAAUGGGGGAAACCCUGAUGCAGCGACGCCGCGUGAGUGAAGAAGUAUCUCGGUACGUAAAGCUCUAUCAGCAGGGAAGAAAAUGACGGUACCUGACUAAGAAGCCCCGGCUAACUACGUGCCAGCAGCCGCGGUAAUACGUAGGGGGCAAGCGUUAUCCGGAUUUACUGGGUGUAAAGGGAGCGUAGGUGGCAUGGCAAGCCAGAAGUGAAAACCCGGGGCUUAACCCCGCGGAUUGCUUUUGGAACUGUCAGGCUGGGGUGCAGGAGGGGCAGGCGGAAUUCCUGGUGUAGCGGUGAAAUGCGUAGAUAUCAGGAGGAACACCGGUGGCGAAGGCGGCCUGCUGGACUGUAACUGACACUGAGGCUCGAAAGCGUGGGGAGCAAACAGGAUUAGAUACCCCCGUA
rnacentral:rRNA from 1 species